rnacentral:tRNA from 1 species
UCCCUGGUCGUAUAUCGGUUAGUACACGCGCCUGUCACGCGCGAAAGCUGGGUUCGAUUCCCAGCCAGGGAG